rnacentral:rRNA from 1 species
UACGGAAGGCAGCAGUGGGGAAUCUUGCGCAAUGGGCGAAAGCCUGACGCAGCCAUGCCGCGUGAAUGAUGAAGGUCUUAGGAUUGUAAAAUUCUUUCACCGGGGACGAUAAUGACGGUACCCGGAGAAGAAGCCCCGGCUAACUUCGUGCCAGCAGCCGCGGUAAUACGAAGGGGCUAGCGUUGCUCGGAAUUACUGGGCGUAAAGGGAGCGUAGGCGGACAUUUAAGUCAGGGGUGAAAUCCCGGGGCUCAACCUCGGAAUUGCCUUUUGAUACUGGGUGUCUUUGAGUAUGAGAGAGGUGUGUGGAACUCCGAGUGUAGAGGUGAAAUUCGUAGAUAUUCGGAAGAACACCAGUGGCGAAGGCGACACACUGGCUCAUUACUGACGCUGAGGCUCGAAAGCGUGGGGAGCAAACAGGGAUUAGAUACC